UCGGGGAUCGUCUAAGGGCAGGACAGCGGGUUUUGGUCCCGUCAAUCCAGGUUCGAAUCCUGGUCCCCGAG
rfam:Candidatus Buchananbacteria bacterium RIFCSPLOWO2_01_FTLL_56_15 rifcsplowo2_01_scaffold_10651, whole genome shotgun sequence.